UCAGGAUCACGAGCGCCCUUGUGUUCUUAGAACCCAGGCCCCCCAGGCUUCCAAAUGCGUACUCACCCCCGCCAUUGGUAUUAAGAAGGCCCCUUUGUGUGACUAAAUUUGGCAAGAAUAUGGAUCCGAGCCAGGCUUUCCACGUGUGCUCCCAGCUCCCAGCUGAGAAGGCCAAGGGUUCUCUUCCGGGGCCUGUGUAAAACCCAUUAGGAGAAUGCAACUCAAGUUUACUCAUCCAGACUGAAUAUGUCACAUUAGAGCUUUCUUGACUCAAGAGAGUUCAAAAUUAAGCAGGCGAGGAGAAACUGCUUCUGUCACAUGCUGUAUUACAAUCUCUUUCUUGCUAGUCUUCCAAACUAGAAGAUUUCAAGACCAGUUCUGUCAAAUGGCAAAGACCCACCCUUGCAAGGUGGUGGUGGUGCUGUUGAUGUGCUGUGCCUCUUCUGGCUUCAUUCUAGGAGUGGGAGGCUGUGUGGUGUUGAGAUUUGACGGAAAUGAACACAGCAUUGACGAAACGAGGCUGAGCUAACACAGGUGGAGCUGUUUUCAUAUCAGCAGUUGACUGAAUUCCCAGACAAAAGGGCUCCAGUCUGAGGGUUGAGAACUGCACCGUUGCCCUCUGCCUGGGACUCAAGGACAUAAAGCAGAGGGAACGUGAUACGAACUGCUCAGUGUGUAAAAACCACCUGCCCUUCCUUUGACACUAUAACAGAUGCUGCUGUGACGUACUACCCAGAUUCCCCUUCAGGACUAGAAGACGUAUUUACCCAGCUGUCUGCUACUGGCAAACAGCCCUCAGCCCUCAGCUCUACUUAGAACUAUUGGAUGAAGAUAUUCACCUUGCCCAAGGGCACACCUCUUUGCAUAAACUACUGGCUUCUAACUACUGGAAGAUUCAAGGAGAUAAAGGCCAGGCAGGCUCUCUCUUACCUUAACUGUAGACAAUUGUGUUUAGAAGUCCAAACACUAUCCAUUGCACAAUACAGCAAGGUACUUGACUGUAGACAAUUUUGAAGGGCUAUUCCAGCUUCAGGAUUUCCUGAGGGGAUAGAUUGAAGCCUUCAAUUGGGACCACACAGAAGCCUCAAUUCUCCCUCCAUUCCUGCUCAACACAUUACUUCUCUUCCAGAAACAUCAUCCCAAGAGUACUAUCUUAGCAAAACCCUCCUCCCCCAUCUAAUCUCUGUCUCAGGGAAUCUUUUCUUUCAGGGAACCCAACCUAUAACACUUGUUAUUAGGAGUGGUCUGAGAGAGCAGACUCUAAGAAGUUUGGAGUUGGAUUACUCCCCUUGCUGGCAGUGAUCAGUAGCUGUAGGUGGAGCAUAGAUAACCCAUGGCCCAAGGAAGCACAGCAUUCGUAAAGCUUUCCCUGAUGGUGAACUAUUAUGUAACACUGGUGAAAGAAAAUGUGCAAGCUAGUGAGAUGUAUCAGGCAUUAAUAAAUAUGGGAGAAAUAACAGAAGGCCAGUGAAAUUGGGUGGCUAUUACUAAGUUCAACUGAUACUUUGGGAAAAGAUAAUAAAAGAUUGAGAAUGAUUAUUUGACUAUCAUUAAUGAGUGAUAGCCAGAGGGCUUCCUUGGUAGCUUAUAAAGCACUCUAGUCUUCAAUAGCCAGAGGCUGCAGAAGGCUAAAGACCAAGACCAGGACUUAAUUGUAAAAUUCACAGAGCACUAAAGAAUGUUUAAUUUUCAACUGAGGCAAGUAAUCUAGGGAAGAAUGGUUCUCUGACACAUGGAAUGAAAAUGGUUGGGUUGAUGAUCUCCAAAUAUCUUGGACCUCAGAUUCCUCUGAACUCUGAAAUAGCAGAAGGGGGCUAUUCUUCACUCUUCAAGAUGAGCACUGCCUCCUUAUUUAAAGGUGCUGAUGAGGCAUUUCUCUUGUAAGAAAUCUGUUUCUUCCUUAGAAUCUGUCCCCACUUCCUGGUCCCCAGGACGAUAAGGGUUAGGUUACAACAUAACCUGACUAGGGACAUUCUGAGUCUGAUAAAAGAGGAAAGGGACUGUACCCCCAAGGAACUGUAAAAUCUAUCUAAUAGGUACCAUCAGAAACUGGGAGAGUAUGCAGGAAACUAGUUUCUGAGCAUGCUGGAUGGGGUGGGGAUGGGAUAGUUGGAUAAGUUUACUGAUUUGAGAGUAUUUUCUCCAGGUGCAGGAUUUAACACUCUGGUAAGAACACACUGAGUGAUGUUGCAAACAUGCUGUGAGGUGGGCUCCUAGAAAUAUAGAAAAAGAAAUGGUCCACAGUGAGACAGAAAUGGCACAACCACCAUGGCAGAUAGUGGAAGGAGAGAUUAAAAGGAUCAGAGAAGUGGGCAAGUUACAGCGUACCGACUAUAUAAGAUGACUGUAUUCCAUGGGAGAGUCCAGAGAAUUUACCAUUUACCAAAGCAAUAGGAAUGUGUUGGUGAGAGGGCACCAUUAACACUAAAAAAAUUCAAUAGUGGCUCUUCCAUCUAGAUGAGGCUCAUGGUAGAAGGUGCUUACCAAACUGAGACGAGGCUAAGUGACAGUGCUUAACCAUCAGAGGCCAGGUAUUGAGUAGCAAGGUCAGAGUGCAUUCAGGGGGGGGUCUGCCCCACGAAAAUGAUAUACUUGACUAAUAAAACAUAGUAUUCCUAGGGACAAAAUAGAUGGGCAGCCAAGAGGGGUGCUACCUAAGCUGUUCAAAAUAAAUCAAGGGCAGAUGAUAAGGCAGCUGAGGGCAGUCACCUUAAUAAUUAGUCACAAUUUCUUGCCUACUUUUCUAGCCUGAGAAAUCUGACUGAAGGAGGUAUCAUUCCCAGGACGAAGGAUUCCACAGUAUUAUGACAAGUAUACAUGUAUAGUCUCAGGAGUCUUGAAUGGCUGGACUUUCUGCCAAAUGUCACACUGUUCCACUAGAGUGAAGACAUCAUGCUAAUCAGAUCAAUGAGCAAGAAAUUGUUGGACUUCUGGUGAGACACAUGCUCUCCAGAAGAGAGAGAGGCAGAUAACAAGCAGAGGGAGAAGCAGGCUCUCUGUGGGGAGACUGCAGAGACUCGAUCCCAGGACCCCAGGAUCACAACCUGAGCCAAAGGCUGACUACUCAACCACUGAGCCAUCCAGGCGUCCCGAUGGACAUGUUUUAAACCACUACAUCUUAGAAUCUGCUUUUCUUCUUGUCUUCUACUUGGAAAUUUUUAUUGGCGAGGACAUCUGAUAAAAGGUUCCAAGAUGACUUCCUGCAUUCAAAGGAAACUUAACUCUAUGCGUGGCGAUGCCCAUCUGCUUACCAGCAUGCCCAUCUACCUGACAGUAGACAUGGCUGAGGAGGCAUCAAAGAACCAGAGAAGAGCCCACACUCCUGCACUUAAACCAGUUAGUUCCUCUAGUCACUACAAAGACACAACACAUCCAGAUGCAUUCUUGAGGAAAUUGGCAUGGGAUUGGGGAACUUUUGAAAGAAGACAAAUGGCCCUGGUUAGGAAGUGUGUAUGCUAAAUUUGACUGAAUAUUCAUCCAAAAGAAAAUAAACAAUGCUGAAUGAAA